rnacentral:rRNA from 1 species
GAUGAACGCUAGCGGCAGGCCUAAUACAUGCAAGUCGAACGGUGUCUUCGGACAUAGUGGCGCACGGGUGCGUAACACGUAUGCAACCUACCUUACAUUGGGGGAUAGCCUUUCGAAAGGGAGAUUAAUACCGCAUAAGACAGUAGCUGGGCAUCCAGCAGCUGUUAAAGAUUUAUCGAUGUAAGCUGGGCAUGCGUCCAAUUAGCUAGUUGGUGAGGUAACGGCUCACCAAGGCAAUGAUUGGUAGGGGAACUGAGAGGUCAAUCCCCCACACUGGAACUGAGAUACGGGCCAGACUCCUACGGGAGGCAGCAGUAGGGAAUAUUGGGCAAUGGACGCAAGUCUGACCCAGCCAUGCCGCGUGCAGGAUGAAGGCGUUAUGCGUUGUAAACUGCUUUUAUACAGGAAGAAACGACUCUUGCGAGAGGCAUUGACGGUACUGUAUGAAUAAGCACCGGCUAACUCCGUGCCAGCCGCCGCGGUAAGAC